GGAUAUGGUCCGGUUUUGUCUAUUUGGGUUCUGAAAAUGUGAGACGAACAAAUAAAAAUACAGGGUUCGUUGCCAUUUCUAAAGAACGUCGCGGAGAAAAACUGAGAGGAGUAUCACACUUUGAGAGACGAAUACUCAGCAGACAUGAAGGUCAGAUCAUCAGUAAAGAAGAUGUGUGAGUUUUGUAGAACGGUGAAGCGUAGGGGUAAAGUCUUUGUCUUAUGCACAGCCAAUCCCAAGCACAAGCAACGUCAAGGCUUGUCAACUUUUGCAUAUGAUGGUGCAUUGCCUCCAAUAUCCUCAGAGGUGGCCACUACCAAGCAAGGAACAUCAUUGAUCUAUAAUUGGCGAGAUGGUCUUGCAUCUCUUUUUCGCAAAAACCAAGAACCAACCAUUCGUGGUGGUAGGGGUGGCCUGGCAUCUCUUCUAUACAAGCAGACCAAGUAGAAGUACAGAGAAACCGGAAAAACUGAAGUUACAUGUCUUAAAAUUUGAGCUACAGACAAAAUGCAUAUCUCUAUAAAUAUUAGUCUUUAUGCUGUUACAGUUUUAUGGUGAGUGGCAGCUCCUUUGAAGAUUUUGAUUUCUUGAGGAGAUGGUCUUGAUUCCUGUUCUUUCUGUUAACAUUUUUGUUUUAAAUGAUAUUUAGUAGAAUUGUCCUGCAAUCUAAUUUAUUCUGAAUAGUGGGUAUGUAGGAGAAAGUCCCUUGUUAGUUAAGGAGCUUAUUUAUUCUGAA